UGGGGAAUCUUGGACAAUGGGGCAACCCUGAUCCAGCCAUGCCGCGUGAGUGAUGAAGGCCUUAGGGUCGUAAAGCUCUUUCGCCUGUGAAGAUAAUGACGGUAGCAGGUAAAGAAACCCCGGCUAACUCCGUGCCAGCAGCCGCGGUAAUACGGAGGGGGUUAGCGUUGUCCGGAAUUAUUGGGCGUAAAGCGCACGUAGGCGGACCAGAAAGUUGGGGUGAAAUCCCGGGGCUCGAACCCCGGAACGUGCCUCCAAAACAUAUUGGUCUAGAGUUCGAGAGAGGUGAGUGGAAUUCCAAGUGUAGAGGUGAAAUUCGUAGAUAUUUGGAGGAACACCAGUGGCGAAGGCGGCUCACUGGCUCGAUACUGACGCUGAGGUGCGAAAGUGUGGGGAGCAAACAGGAUUAGAUACCCUGGUAGUCCACACCGUAAAACGAUGAAUGCCAGUCGUCGGGUAGCAUGCUAUUCGGUGACACACCUAACGGAUUAAGCAUUCCGCCUGGGGAGUACGGUCGCAAGAUUAAAA
rnacentral:rRNA from 1 species